UUGAAACCCAAACUCGGUACUUUACGAUACCAUUUCUAUGAGCGGAAUUCUACUAAUAAUUAUAACAAUAAUAUAAAUUUCAAGCUUAACUUACAUUUAUCAGAGUCUAAUCCCAAGUACGCAACCUUUACUAUAUUCUUUACAUGAUAUAUAAUACAUAUCAUUAACUUAAUACAGUCUAUCUAUUACAAUAGAUACCAAUAUCAUAUUCUGUUUGCUUUCCUUUUCACUUGUUCCUGGCCGAGCCUUCUAGCUUUUCAUACUUAGCUGAAAACAUUUAAAUUAAGCAAGGAUGAGCAUUUGAGUGCCCAGCAAGUAUUAUAUAUAUAAGCUGAAAGAAUUUAAAUGUUUUCUUUAUAAUAUUCUUCUACAACCAGUCAAUAGUUGUGAAGUAAUCUGUACCAAUAAUAAUAGCAUAACAACCCUCGUUCAAGUUUUUGAAACUGUGUAUUGUCUAUUUAUAAGGUUUCUGUGACAUAUCAUGAACAUUGUUUUCAUUUUCGAAAAGGUUAAACCGAAAUUCAUCUGUAAACCGGCAUUGAUUACGGGCCUGAGGGUGUACAGUCCAUGGGCCCUGUAUUGAUUAAUACUACAUUGCUAGAACGAUAUUAUCGUUCAUCCUUUGUCCGCCGUAGCGCAUAAAAAUUUUCCCAUUAUCGGGAUGUUCAUUUCGGUCGGGUUUUCAUAACAAAGGUCUUAUAUAAUUCAACAUAUAUGUAUAUCAAAGGUGUAUCAACAUGCGAUUAAAUACAAUGAUUAUCCAAGUGGGGACACUUGUAUAAUCAUUUAUAGAAAUUAACGAACAGAAUAUAUUUAUCUGAAUUAUCAUAUACUAACAUGUUGAUAAUCAAUGGGCUUAUAUAAUGUAGCUUUAACAAUCUGUACAUUAAUAAUAAUAAUAUAAUUUUGAAACAUUCUUACACUUGUCCAUUGCAUAAAGAAAAUGCAAAGUUAGGAUACUUGCCUGAUGCGCUGCUUACACUUACACAACUUAGAUUUAUCUUUUUUAUCA
rnacentral:lncRNA from 1 species